CUAGUCCAUGAAUUAGAGUUGUGCUUGUAGGGGAAAGAAGAGAAGAGAGCUUGUAUGUCUACCUUAAUGUUUGGGUUUUGCUCUAGUAAUUGUUUGCCUUGAUUCGGUCCCAAGGAGAGCAUUUCAAAGAAUUUGUGGAAAACUUGAAAGAUAAGUUUAUUCUGGAGCAAAGAAAAAUUUCCAACCUAUGUAUGGAUUGAAAAAGAGAAUCAGAGCAGGGCUGACUGUGUCCGGAAUCUGGAGUUCACAGACUGCUGGUGUUGAAGACCAAGAUCAAACUCAGCAAGCAACAAUCCAUGAAUGGGCAGAAGUCAGAGACCAAGGUCAGGUCUACAGGUGAGGGUCCACAAUUGGGCAAUGCUCCAAGGCCACAGAACUGUGUGCUUUCCGGUACCCUGGAAACAUUCACAUACUGACUCCUGUACUUGGGCCACACUAUUGCUUCCUGAUGAUCAAACAUUAGGUGGUUAACAUCAGUAUGGGACACAGCUAUCAAAAUUUGGGCCACAUCAGUUCCUGUAAUUG